GCCAAGAUGAGACCACGGUGAAUACCCUACGUCCAUACGCAGUGAUGCCACCUGCAGUGUGAAACACCACAGAGGAGCACUGGGAAUCAUCCAGUGAGUCCUCCACAGUCAGCCUUUAAAACACACACUCCAUCUGAUCAUCUCGUCGUUGAUUGUCCUCUGCUGAAGAAGAACACGUCCUCAGACUGUGAAAUCAAAAAUGUUCCCACCAAUCAACUAUCACAUUUCAAGUCACACGCCGAG